CCCAGGACUGCUCAGCUGCCCUGCUUUCUCAAGAGGCCAUGCUUACAGCCCAGGUCGUGGCCACAGUUGGAGGACCAGACAGCAUCCUGGGACAGGCCCAGGAGGCCUGGCGGUGGACAGAGAAGCUGCUGUGGGGGAUGGGCCGGCCCAGAGGGACAGCUGUGUGGCAGCUGAAAUUGAAGGGGCUGGUCCACAGGGCCCAGAGGCUGCACCCUCAGCUUCUGCAGCUCCUAGUCAAAGCUGGAGUGAUGCUGUGAGUGUGGAGCUGGUGGCAUGCCAUGCGCUGGCGGUGCCCCUCCCCCAAGGUGGGGCAGCGGGCAUUGCCCUCCUGCUGGAUCAGAUCCAGGGUGCCUUCCCUGUGCCAGAUGCCGUAGGCCAGGAGCUGCCCAAAGCUGAAGGUGUUCUCCAUCAGGCACAGCAGACCAGGGAGGGUACAGCCAGGGCCCUGGACCAAGCACUGGAUGUUUAGGGAGUGCUGGCUGAGGCAGGAACUCAUUCAAGGGCUGCAGAGCAAGGGCUGCAGGUGGUGAAACAGAGACUUCGAGGUCUGGAAGCCAGUGUACAGGAGGUGAUACCCCACCCAUACCCCUCAGCUCCCUCACACCUCUUGCUCAGAGGCUGCUGUGAUCCCCAUUCUUUCCCUGAGAUCCUUGACCAAUUGUGAUACCAUGGUGCUAAAUACCCUGAUCAUGUAAUGCUCUACCCUGCUGUGACCUCUCUGUGAUUCCCCAAUCUUUGCCUCAGG